rnacentral:rRNA from 1 species
UACCAGCACCCCGAGUGGUCGGGACGAUUAUUGGGCCUAAAGCAUCCGUAGCCGGUUCUGCAAGUCCCCCAUUAAAUCCAGCUGCUCAACAGAUGGGCCGCGGAGGAUACUACAGAGCUAGGAGGCAGGAGAGGCAAGCGGUACUCAGUGGGUAGGGGUAAAAUCCGUUGAUCCAUUGAAGACCACCAGUGGCGAAGGCGGCUUGCCAGAAUGCGCUCGACGGUGAGGGAUGAAAGCUGGGGGAGCAAACCGG